rnacentral:rRNA from 1 species
AGUGAACGCUGGCGGUAGGCCUAACACAUGCAAGUCGAACGGCAGCACAGUAAGAGCUUGCUCUUACGGGUGGCGAGUGGCGGACGGGUGAGGCAUACAUCGGAAUCUACUUUUUCGUGGGGGAUAACGUAGGGAAACUUACGCUAAUACCGCAUACGACCUACGGGUGAAAGCAGGGGAUCUUCGGACCUUUCGCGAUUGAAUGAGCUGAUGUCGGAUUAGCUAGUUGGCGGGGUAAAGGCCCACCAAGGCAACGAUCCGUAGCUGAUCUGAGAGGAUGAUCAGCCACACUGGAACUGAGACACGGUCCAGACUCCUACGGGAGGCAGCAGUGGGGAAUAUUGGACAAUGGGCGCAAGCCUGACCCAGCCAUACCGCGUGGGUGAAGAAGGCCUUCGGGUUGUAAAGCCCUUUUGUUGGGAAAGAAAAGCAGCAGGUUAAUACCCCGCUGUUCUGACGGUACCCAAAGAAUAAGCACCGGCUAACUUCGUG